AUCCCGCCGGAGGCGACCGCUGUGGGAGCCGAUUAGCCAUGCGAGUCGAGAGAAUAAGAUUCUCGGCAUACCGCUCAGUAACACGUGGAUAACUGCCCUGUGCUGGGGGAUAACCUCGCGAAAGUGAGAACAAUACCCCAUGGGUCACUAUGCCUGGAACGGUUAGUGGCUGAAAGCUCCGGCGGCACAGGAUGGGUCUGCGGCGUAUCAGGUCGUAGGGGGUGUAACGUACCUCCUAGCCUUCGACGCGUACGGGUUGUGAGAGCAAUUGCCCGGAGAUGGAUUCUGAGACACGAAUCCAGGCCCUACGGGGCGCAGCAGGCGCGAAAACUUGACAAUGCGAGAAAUCGUGAUCAGGGGACUCCAGUUGGCUGGAUCAAAAGUCCAGUCUGAACCGACUUUAAAUCGGUCGGGUAAUAGGGGCGGGAAAGACCGGUGCCAGCCGCCGCGGUAAUACCGGCGCCCCAAGUGGUCGUCACUAUUAUUGGGCCUAAAACGUCCGUAGCCGGUUUGGUAAAUCCGUGGGUAAAUCAGACAGCCUAACUGUCUGAAUUCUGCGGGGACUGCCAGACUUGAGACCGGGAGAGGUGCGGGGUACUUGCGGGGUACCGGUAAAAUGGGAUCAUCCCGUAGAGACCACCUGUUGCGAAGGCGCCGCACUAGAACGGAUCUGACGGUCAGGGACGAAGGCUAGGGGCACGAACCGGAUUAGAUACCCGGGUAGUCCUAGGUGUAAACGCUGUGGACUUGGUGUCGGGGACCUUCUGAGGGUUUCCGGUGCCGGAGUGAAGAUGUUAAGUCCACUGCCUGGGGAGUACGGUCG
rnacentral:rRNA from 1 species